GAUAGCCUCUUUGUUGAUUUUUAACCAGAUAAGAAUUCUCCUGUUUUGAGUUAUACCAUAUUAGCAUUCCCCCUGAGUCUCUGCCCUGUUUGAUUCCUUUUAAUUUAGUGGAUGGUACAAUUAUCUCCCUGUAACCUAGUGGACAGCCAGUGGAAACAUCACCUCUGCACCAUGUUUCCUGUAGUACUACAAUACCAACAUCAUCAAUUUCUUUCAGGUAAUCUGUGUUUCUGCUCUUUAGCCCAAAAGCAGAGGAAUUCAAGCCUUGUAAAUUCCAACAUGCAACGUAAAAAGAUUUCACAACUGUUUUUUCUUUACCUUCAAAAUGCUAUACACUCACAAUCCAGCAAGAACUAUUAAAAUAGGAUUUUUCAAUUAAUGUAAACUCUUAUUAUGCAAAUGUGAUUUGUUUAUAAUUUAAGAUAGCAUUUGUGUCAUGCGACUUGCGUGGAUGUAGUGUGAGGAUGGUGGAGUUCUUGUGCUCAUCUUACCAUGACCCUCGGCCUAUCACGUGAGCAUAAAAUACUCAGCAUUUGUUUAAUGUCACUCAUUUGAUUGGUGGAGGCUGGGCCAGUUGCUCCUCUCACAGACUGUGCAUAGCUCUGUCUGCAGGGUUUUGGCUCCUCCAGGUGUGGGUCUGCGGUGGGGGGUGGUAGGCCUCAUCUGGUUGGGUCUGAAGCUGGUGUGGUCUGUGCCGCGCUGGCGGUGGUGGGCAUUGAGGUUGGUGGUGCUGUGGCCGUGGCUGGGGGGGGUCCAGAGUUCUGGUCCGGGGUGUUAUCUCGGUGGGGUGGAGAUUGCUCCGCUUUUCCUGUUUUGAGAGAUCGGGUUGCGGUUUAAAGCAACGUCCUUGAGAGUCUUGGCAAGGAUGGGGACUGUCUCCCUGUACAGGUGAACAUGGUCAUAGAGACAGUCCAGAUCGAGGGUGGGAUGGUGAGCCAGGUGUACAUUGGGUCGCAGGGCACAGUCCAGAUCGAGGGUGGGAUGGUGAGCCAGGUGUACAUUGGGUUGCAAGGCACAGUCCCGGGAGAGGCUGGCGUUUAUUCUUUGGAUUGUGGAAGGGUGGAAGUCCUUCCUCUGUAGAAGGGUUGACACCAAGAUUCCUUGAGUUGGGGAAGAUUGCAGAGGCCUUCUCAAUCACUUCCCGUAGUGAAGUCGUCACCCUCUUCUGAUGAGCACGCAGGUCGUUGCUUCCGGUGUGUAUGACUAUGUGGCUUGGCGACCCGAGCUGGGCCUUAUCAAGCAGCUCCAUGGCACUCUGCGUUGUUGGCACCACAUCUUUCUCGUUUUGUGUCUAGGGAAAAAUGUAUUCUCCUGAACAAACUUCUCAUUUGAGUCCAUCAACAGGACCAUGUCAGCCAGUGUUUAUUCUGGACUGGAGGAGGUAGUGGGGGCUGGUGGGUGUUGGAGCUGGGGUGUGGCUGGUCGGUGCCGGUGCUGCUGUCAGUUGGAGGCUGUUCUGUGGGCUGGGGUGAGGAGUGCAGCAGGCAGGGCUAGGGAGGCCUGGCUGGUUGAGCUGGGCUCCUCUGCUGUGUGAGGGCAGGUUUGGGGAGGCCUGGCUGGUUGAGGUGGGCUCCUCUGCUGUGUGAGGGCUGGUCAUAGAGUGGUGAUAUAACUGCUCCUGCAGCCUGUCCUCCUGUCCCCUUUCUCUCCUGCAGCCUGUCCUCCUGUCCUCUUUCUCUCCUGCAGCCUGUCCUCCUUCUCUUCUGCAGCCUGUCCUCUUUCUCUCCUGCAGCCUAUCCGCUUUCUCUCCUGCAGCCUGUCCUCUUUCUCUCCUGCAGCCUGUCCUCUUUCUCUCCUGCAGCCUGUCCUCUUUCUCUCCUGCAGCCUGUCCUCUUUCUCUCCUGCAGCCUGUCCUCUUUCUCUCCUGCAGCCUGUCCUCUUUCUCUCCUGCAGCUCCUCUCUUAGUGUGGUCAGAUUGUACUGCUCUGCCUGUCUUUUUGGAGCUCUCUCACCUCCUUUGUUAGAUCAGCCAGUUCUCUCGAGUCCGUCUCUCUCUUGCUGAACCUCUUUCAGCUGUCCUGCUCUGUCCUCACCUUGGUUAGGAGCUCUUCUAAGGUGUGGAUGUCUGGCUACUGUUUGCUCACGCUCACCCUGAGCAGGACAACCUCCCCCUCUAGUUUGGUGAACUCACCCCUCAUGGCAGCCAUGGUGGUGAGGAGGGCCUGAGCCUGCUCUGCACUGAGGGGGUCGCUCUCCUCCUUGGGCGUGUCCUCCACUUUGAUGGGAAGAGAGUUGCUGGAUGUGCCUUUUUGGGUGGGGAGAGUGGGGGUGAUGGUGGUGGAGUUUCUCUCUCUGCUCUCUCCUUAAUGGUCUGAAAGUCUGUUUCAAACAGCCUAAGGUUACUUUGCCCCAGUCUUGUAGAGGUUAAUUGUUAUCAUGGCGCUGUCAGGGUCAUCUGUCUAUUUGACUUUCAGCUUUCACCCAUUACAGAUUCCUUCUUUCUUUAUGGAUGGGUAGUGAGAGCAGACUGCUGACCGCCAUGCAUUUGGUUGGUCAGGGAGAAAUAUGAGAUUACUCACAUUAUUGUUUUUGUAGAGGUCUGCGAAAAAGAUUUCUGGCCUCCCCUUUAGUAGUUUAAUUUUUUUUUUUUUUAAAGCUUUCAUCCUUGUGUCAAUUUUGGCCUCUGGAGAGUAGAGAAUGGACUCAGCGCUGAGGGGGAGUGGGGACAUGGUGCUUGUGGGCUCUGCUACUACUGCUGCUCUGUUUUUCUGCACCAUUGCCUUGGCAACCGGUUUUGUUUGUCUGCUGCUGUUGCUAGCUAGCUCUAAUUUAGCUCAGAAACUGGAAAAAAAAGUGAAAAAUCUUCACAGCAAAAAUACAGAAUAUGUUUAAAGUUAGAGUCCGCGCUCCUUUUUGUUUACUCACUCAGUUUGAUCAUUUGAUGUAGUUGUAUUAACUCCCCUUGCUAGGUUUGUUCUAGCUAAAUCUUUCUGGCUAGCAUGUUAGCCUGCUGGCUAGGUUUUUGUGGUGUAGCUAGCUAGCGAGUCAAGACUUCUUAAUUUGAGGCGCAAAGUGACUUUUUUCUAUUCUGAUUAAAUAUUGAGUUGUUCAUCACUUCUUGUCUUGAAUUAUUUUUUAGAUUUGAGUGUCUCAUUCUAAAAACAAAAAAAAAUGAAAUAAAUCAGGAGCUCACGUUGAACAUCUCUGUAGCUCUUUCUCUCUCACCGUCUGGCUUCUCUCUCAUCACUGUUUGUGGCUGUUGUCUCUCUAUCAUACGUACACAAACAUACCUGGCACCACCUAGAAGGCAUGUCCAUAGCAGUGCACAGCAGAGACCAAGAACAGUCCCUUGUCAAUUAGGGAUUGCACGCUGUACUGGCUCAUUGCACAGUCACUGCCGAUGCUGUGUGUGUGAGAGAGAGUGUGGUAAGGGUGAGCCGUACUGGGCGAUGCCAGCCCUUUUACGAUCCACAGUCUGUCCAUUGUCCGAGUGCCCAACCAUCAGUACAACAACAAUGGCCGCCUCAGUGACCCCUAUUGUCUCUGAGCAACAGGCCGCUCACAUGCACUGCCUGAUAAGGAGGUGCGAGGGCCAGACACACACAAAACACACAGCAACUUAAAUCCAAGAACAGCAUCCAAGCACAUAGACGCUUUGUUUAAUGAAACCACAUUGUACCCUUUAACCAUGGC
ensembl:lncRNA